rnacentral:piRNA from 1 species
UNUGGGCUUAUCAGGAACAAGCGUCAGAUGC